CCUACGGGUGGCUGCAGUGGGGAAUAUUGGACAAUGGGCGCAAGCCUGAUCCAGCAAUGCCGCGUGUGUGAAGAAGGCCUGCGGGUUGUAAAGCACUUUAAGCAGGAAAGAAGGGGUGAAAGUUAAUACCUUUCAUCAUUGACGUUACCUGCAGAAUAAGCACCGGCUAACUCCGUGCCAGCAGCCGCGGUAAUACGGAGGGUACGAGCGUUAAUCAGAGCGACUGGGGGUGAUGCGAUCGUUCGGUGUUGAAAGCCCUGGGCUUAACCUGGGAACUGCGGUGGAUACUGUCGGGCUAGAGUGUGGUAGAGGGGAGUGGAAUUUCCGGUGUAGCAGUGAAAUGCGUAGAGAUCGGAAGGAACACCAGUGGCGAAGGCGGCUCCCUGGACUAACACUGACGCUGAGGUGCGAAAGCGUGGGGAGCAAACAGGAUUAGAUACCCCAGUAGUC
rnacentral:rRNA from 1 species